CUUGCCUUACCUGAUUUCAGUUUCUUAUGAUGCCUAUAAAGUCAGUAUUUGUUUAGAUGUCUUUCACACAAGCUGCAUUUUAUUCCCAUUUUUGCCAACAUCAAUUAUGCACAUAUAGGCCAUUGCCUACUGCUGUAUCCAUUUUGGCUUUUCCUGGUCACAUAUAGGUCUCUGUUCAGAGAGUAAACCAAAUGUUACUAUAAAGCAGGGCUUGACAAAGUUGUUUGGAAUCUAGGAGCCAGCUAGAAAAGUUAG